AAAGCCCGGGCUCAACCUGGGAACGGCAUCCGGGAACGGGCCAGGCUAGAGUGCAGGAGAGGAAGGUAGAAUUCCCGGUGUAGCGGUGAAAUGCGUAGAGAUCGGGAGGAAUACCAGUGGCGAAGGCGGCCUUCUGGCCUGACACUGACACUGAGGUGCGAAAGCGUGGGUAGCAAACAGGAUUAGAUACCCUGGUAGUCCACGCCGUAAACGAUGUCGACUAGCCGUUGGGACCUUUAAGGACUUAGUGGCGCAGUUAACGCGAUAAGUCGACCGCCUGGGGAGUACGGCCGCAAGGUUAAAACUCAAAUGAAUUGACGGGGGCCCGCACAAGCGGUGGAGCAUGUGGUUUAAUUCGAUGCAACGCGAAGAACCUUACCUACCCUUGACAUCCAGAGAAGUUGGCAGAGAUGCCUUCGUGCCUUCGGGAGCUCUGAGACAGGUGCUGCAUGGCUGUCGUCAGCUCGUGUUGUGAAAUGUUGGGUUAAGUCCCGUAACGAGCGCAACCCUUGUCCUUAUUUGCCAGCGAGUAAUGUCGGGAACUCUAAGGAGACUGCCGGUGACAAACCGGAGGAAGGUGGGGACGACGUCAAGUCAUCAUGGCCCUUACGGGUAGGGCUACACACGUGCUACAAUGGCCGGUACAAAGGGUUGCGAGACCGCGAGGUGGAGCGAAUCCCAGAAAGCCGGCCUCAGUCCGGAUCGGAGUCUGCAACUCGACUCCGUGAAGUCGGAAUCGCUAGUAAUCGUGAAUCAGAAUGUCACGGUGAAUACGUUCCCGGGCCUUGUACACACCGCCCGUCAC
rnacentral:rRNA from 1 species